UGAUGUUUAUGAUGUGUGUGCAUGUAGCCUUAGAAAAAUAGCAGCUCUGGAAAGGAGUAGAGUCAGGGCUUUGUCUCAUGACAAUGAAGGGGUUAACAUGUUUCAUGCCCAUCCCACAUAAACAUUGGUGGAGCCCAACAGCCAAGGGCCAAUGAUGACCACCACGCUAUUAACCUCACUGAACACUCUCACACACAGGAGAUCAUGUCUCUACAAUGACAGAUGAGUCUCUCCUUAACAGGUCUCCAAACGGAUCAACAAGUUUCAUCUUCAAUCAAGGAUAAGAGACCAAGAUUCUGACAAAUGGAAGAAUAUUGUCUGUGACGGAUGAAUAGCUGGUGGAAGCAACGACAUCUGAAUAACAACAGCUUUAACACAACACAGCAGUAAUGGCUCCAAACAUCACUUCUCUGCACCUCAAUUAGACCACCAUGUGCUGAAGAGAAACAGGAGCUCUCUGGUGAGCUGAAAUUCUGGAAAAGGUCAAAGGUCUUGGGUUAAGCAUGGUGUCAGUGGAGGUCUCCGUGGCUUUUGUGUUGUGCUGUGUGCUGAUGAAAGCCAGAGCUCUGAUUGAUUCUGAUGAUGUCAUCACCAGAGAUGAACAGAUCUUUCUUCUGAUUGAUGCACGGGCGAGGUGUGAGAGAAGCAUCCGUUCACAGUUAGAUGGUGUCAGAGG